rnacentral:rRNA from 1 species
GACGAACGCUGGCGGCGUGCCUAAUACAUGCAAGUCGAGCGGACUGAUUAAGAGCUUGCUCUUAUGACGUUAGCGGCGGACGGGUGAGUAACACGUGGGCAACCUGCCCUGUAGAUCGGGAUAACACCGAGAAAUCGGUGCUAAUACCGGGUAAUAUCUGAGAUCACAUGAUCUUAGGUUAAAAGAUGGCUCCGGCUAUCACUACAGUAUGGGCCCGCGGCGCAUUAGCUAGUUGGUAAGGUAAUGGCUUACCAAGGCGACGAUGCGUAGCCGACCUGAGAGAGGGAUCGGGCACACUGGGACUGAGACACGGCCCAGACUCCUACGGGAGGCAGCAGUAGGGAAACUUCCGCAAUGGACGAAAGUCUGACGGAGCAACGCCGCGUGAGUGAUGAAGGGUUGCGGCUAGUAAAGCUCUGUUGUUAGGGAAGAAACAGUACCGAACGAACUAGGUCGGUACCUUGACGGUACCUAACCAGAAAGCCACGGCUAACUACGUG